ACGCCUAUUUGCCUGCCAAAGGCAUCAGUACUCCAUGAACGGCGAACUACGUCUGCAUUUUAAUUUACACCGAACACCCAAGGAGAAAGAUUACUGGAUGGUUUAGGUAUGAUGAUGGAUUCAAGGUUAACAUACACUGCACACAAUCAAACAUGUUUUAGAAUUUUGAAAGCAACAAUCACUAAUCUGAGUACAUGCAUAUGGAAAGAGCAUCACGAACAAGUGUUGAACCCAAGUCUUGGGUUCUGUGAGACAGCAGUACUAACUCAGGCACUGCAUUUCUGCUUGCUGUGCCAUAAUUGUUCACUUAUACAUUUUUUCAAUAUUUCACACAGUGAAUCAGCAGUGGGGACUGGACUGGCCAAACUGAUUUGGCCACUAAGCCGCACUGCAUGUCAAGUCAAGCAUCUUAGCAACUGCAACACACUAAGUCUGAUGGGCUAAAACUGAGUUGGUUUUUCCUGGGUGGGUGCUUGGGUAAAUUUGGUCAGCAACACACACAAGUGUUAACCAACUUUGGAUUGGACAUUGUCAGGCACAAAUUUAUUGGACUAUAGAAGAAUACCAAAGACUCAAAAGAAAAAAAGGGAGAACACGCAAGUGGCAUUCUAGGAAAGACAUAGCAGUGCUAGAGAAAGUCCAGAGAACAGGAACCAGGACUCUGAGCCUAAGAGGAGUGAACUAUGAGGACAGAUUGAAAGGUGAGAAAACAGUAAUAACAAUAAUAAUAACUAUUAUAAUAAUAAUAAUAAUAAUAAUAUGUUUAAUUGAUAUAGCACAAA